AAACUGUUCAUACACUCGCUUAAAAUGUGCCGUAGUUUAACAUUUUAUAUAAGGAUAAUAUAUCUUAUGAAUAUUGUUACAAAUGCAGAUGCCAAGUGUACGUUUCCGGCAGACUUGAGGGGUUCUUGGAUAAGUGCAGACCGGGGAACACUAACCUUUGAAGCAAAUAAACUUUCUGGUUAUUCAAUACAGCUGACUAGAUCAAUUGGUUCGGUCGAUUUUAUUUGUAAAACUCUAUCGAAAAAUCGGUAUCAUCUAAGCGGUAAUAUCACGUUUCAGAUUUUUAGUGAUAGUGGUUUUUUUAGGCCACACAUAUGUCUGCAGUUUUACAACUUGACCUCGGAAAAAU